rnacentral:lncRNA from 10 species
AGGUCGGCCAGCACCCAACCCUCCAGUUACAGCAAGAAGACGUGAAAGGUUGGGAAAGGAGACCUCUGAUUCCAAGGACUCGUUCAAAAGAUGCUGAGACCGAGGCUUAAGCUUCAGGGCACCUCGGCCCCACCUGCUGGCCGGAGACGGUAGCGCUGCCCCAGCCGCUCAGUGCUUAUGGGGCUGGCAGAGGGAUGGGAUGGGGCUGGCUGGGAAGAAGAGGUCGCUGAGGCCCCGCCUGGGAGCUGCAGAGCUGGGGCAAACCUGGGGCUCUGGGCAGGUCUGCCCCAGGCAGUAUACUGUGGAGAAUGAAACUUUUCU